rnacentral:rRNA from 1 species
UACGGAGGGGGGCUAGCGUUGUUCGGAAUUACUGGGCGUAAAGGGCGCGUAGGCGGCCUUCUAAGUCGAACGUGAAAUCCCUGGGCUCAACCCAGGAACUGCGUCCGAUACUGGGAGGCUUGAAUCCGGGAGAGGGAUGUGGAAUUCCAGGUGUAGCGGUGAAAAUGCGUAGAUAUCUGGAGGAACACCGGUGGCGAAGGCGGCAUCCUGGACCGGUAUUGACGCUGAUGCGCGAAAGCCAGGGGAGCAAACGGG